rnacentral:rRNA from 1 species
UACGGAGGAUGCAAGCGUUAUCCGGAAUGAUUGGGCGUAAAGCGUCCGCAGGUGGCUGUGUAAGUCUGCUGUUAAAGAGUGGGGCUCAACCUCAUAAGAGCAGUGGAAACUACAUAGCUAGAGUGCGGUCGGGGCAGAGGGAAUUCCUGGUGUAGCGGUGAAAUGCGUAGAUAUCAGGAAGAACACCGGUGGCGAAAGCGCUCUGCUAGGCCGCAACUGACACUGAGGGACGAAAGCUAGGGGAGCGAAUGGG